rnacentral:rRNA from 1 species
UACAGAGGGUGCAAGCGUUAAUCGGAAUUACUGGGCGUAAAGCGUGCGCAGGCGGCUUUGCAAGACAGAUGUGAAAUCCCCGGGCUUAACCUGGGAACUGCAUUUGUGACUGCAUGGCUGGAGUGCGGCAGAGGAGGAUGGAAUUCCGCGUGUAGCAGUGAAAUGCGUAGAUAUGCGGAGGAACACCGAUGGCGAAGGCAAUCCCCUGGGCCGGCACUGACGCUCAUGUGCGAAAGCGUGGGGAGCAAACAGG